CAAAUCCUAUUAUUUCAAAAACAAUUCAUAUUAAUGAGCUGAUCAGAUUUAUUUCCUCUCAUUCAGCCGCUGAUGAAAACCAGAAUCCACAGAGAAACAAGAACCUGGACUCUGGUGACUUGAAGGAUGCAGCACUGAGUUUGUAUUCACCAACAAUAAGAAACAGGAGGCCUGCAUCAGAGAGAGAAGAGGAGACUCAUGUUAUUUACACUGCCAGCAGAUAGACUCAGAGUGGAACUGAUGCUUUUAUCAUGUUCAUGUGCUGCUGUGGUUUUGUGUGCCUGGUUACUUUGACAAAAAGUCUGAUUUUACAAUAAAGAGCUUCUAUUCACGCAAA